GCAAACUUGGUCAUUUAGAGGAAGUAAAAGUCGUAACAAGGUUUCCGUAGGUGAACCUGCGGAAGGAUCAUUACAAAUCCACUGAUAUAUGACAACGUUGAACAAAGGGGGGGGGGUAGUGCUAGGGUGUUGUUGCUGCUGACGCUGCUGAUACAGCUGCUGACGCGCACUCACGCCCGCACGCCCGCCCACAUAAGACAAACUACUGUUAUCACAAUGCACAACCUAUAUCAAACGACAACAACCUAGAAACAACUUACAACAAUGGAUCUCUAGGCUCUUGCAUCGAUGAAGAACGCAGC
rnacentral:misc_RNA from 1 species